GUAGUAUUCCCUCCGUCCCAAAAUUCUUGUCUUACAUUUGUUUAGAUACGGAUGUAUCUAACACUAAAAUGUAACUAGAUACAUCCGUAUUUAGACAAAUUUGAGACAAGAAUUUUGGGACGGAGGGAGUACAAA
rnacentral:pre_miRNA from 1 species